AUGCGGGUCGGGUUUAACAAAUUGGUUCCACACAGGACUCUAACCUCAGCUACAUCCUGCGUGCCUGCUCAAAAUCCCUUAUCCAACUUCUUCUAUGACCGGAAGUUACUUGCUGCACCAGUUUCAGCCUGUUUUAUAAUUGUUCUUCUUCUAUGUUCAUGCUCCUCGCAUACAAGUUGGGAAGAGGGGCUUUGUAGGCAGACGUAUCUCAUUGCCUUUGUGAUUUAUUACUGUAAGCACUGUGAGUAGUGAAGACAAGUGCAAGAUGAUAGGGGUCUUCUGUGAUUUAUGGCUGACCAGGGUGCUUUUUGCAAAAUUUACAGAAACAAACCAGACUGAGGAAUAACAGGUCGGCUGAAAAUCAUUGUUAGCACCACAGCAAGUGACUUUCGGUCCAGUGACAGGUGGUGUGCGCACGUAGGAUGUAGCUGACGGCACAACCGUAAACAGACAUUUAUCAAGCUUUCACAUGGGGGCCCACAGAUCCCGUUAGCCAAAAACCUAUUUCUCUGUGAUAGAGUAUUGCGCGGGUCCAUUUUUUGGAACCCGUACCCGAAAUCCGCAACGCGCAUUCUUAAACGCAAGUGCCUUAUCCGCAACCCGGACCCGCUGACCAUCAAGAAUCAGGAAGUGCUGUCAUUGUAAUUCCCAGACUGAAGGAAAAAAUUAUUCAAAUAAUUUAUAUAGUGUAAUUAAAGUUAAUUUUGCUUGACUAAUGUGAUAAAAUAGGAUUUUGAAUAUUUUUUUUGGGUGACGGGUCCCCUUUAACAACGCUUCCAACCAAAAGGAAGACAGUGCAUGUGAAUAGCACAGAAGGUCUUCAUAGAGCCUAUUCACAAAAGCUCCCUAAAAAAAUUCAAAUUGAGGAAACUACAGAGCACUCUACACUUUUCUUUGUGAUCCAAUGCCGCAUCAUUCUGUAACAGCUAUUCAUUGCAUUACCAAGACAAUACUAAGAACAAAGAAAAUAGUGGUCUAUUGCCAAGCGAUGUGGUUUUGUUGAGAAUCAAACUGCAACAAAAUCCUACAUUAACACUUCCCUAUGUAGUCAUUCAAAUUUAAUUCAUCUUUCCCAAACAUGUUUUUGUUUUUGAAACAAAUAAAAAAACUAAAGGACUACAUCCUAAAAAUGAAUAUGGCUAGAAAUGCCAUAUGUUUUAUACUGAACCAGCUUAAAGGUUCAGCAUCUCUAUAUAGCAAUGAUCCAGGCCUUUGAAGUUGUCACAGGAGCUUCUCAUCUUGGAUUAUCUGUGACACGCACAUGCUCAGUGGGCUCUGAACAGCUGAUGAGAAGCUAAGCUUACAGCAAAUCAUUAAGUAGUAAAUGGAAUAUGCCUGUCGUAAUAUGGUGCUACUGGGCUGAUUAUUACAUUUUGAUGUUAAUUGUGCUUGUUUUGGAGCUGCCAGGUACCAAUAAUCUGAUUAACUAAUCAGCCUUAUAUUGUGACAUUUCUAUUCUAUGUGUGCUGUAUAUUUUGAGUCAGUCCCUAAACUCAGUAAGUGACAGCAGCAGAGCAUGUGCAGUGAAUCAACAGAAAAGAAGAUGGGGAGCUACUGGGGCAUCUUUGGAGACACAGAUCUUUACUGCUGAAGGGCUGUGGUUGCCUUGGGCUGGAAAAGAACCCCAAUACAUAAUGGGCAAUAUUUCUGCCCUACUUCUUUAGUUAAGCUUUAGUUCUUUAAAAAUAAAAAGACCACUUAAAUUUUUUCGUAGUUUUCCUCUUAUGUGACAUAACCUUUUCACUCCAUCAAAACACAUGGCUUCUAGUCUGCCAUUUGCCAACAUCUUGAUUACUUGAGCAUAUUCUGAAAGAAGGAAAAUAAAAUAUUUUAUUCUUG